GCCCUGAUAGUAUAAACAUUACACUGGUCUUGUAAACCAGAAAUGAAAAACCUACUUUUCUCAGGGCA
rnacentral:tRNA from 1 species